AAAAGUGUUCAAGUUCAGUCAAAGUGUCUCUAAGGAAAAAGUUUUAAUAUAUAAAAAAAGAAAAGUAUCCACUAUUGCUGGUUAGCAUAUAGAAUUCAUCACCAAAUAUGGAAAAGUGUGGAAAACGUGUCGCAAAAGCGAAGCAAAGGCCCUAUUCCAGCAUGGAAAAAACGCCAACGUAGUCUUGCUCGACAUGGGCAAUAUUUGCUCACAAAUUGAAACAAAGAAGCACGAUGAAAAAGUGUAUUAGUCAUCGAUUUGGCCGUCAGCUUCGGGGAAUUUCACAAUGCGGAACGCUGGGAAAGCAGGAAAGGCGCAGUUUCUCGUUUUUGGCUAGAAAGUGACUCUCUAGGCAGGAUGAGGCAAUCCAGGAGGUUCAGGAAACUCUCUCGAAACUGUCCCAGGCGGGUGCAAUGGCGGCAGCCCUGACCCACAGUGUACGUGGAUUUGAUAAAUUGGGAUAGGAAGCCAGUUGGGCGUUGAAUGUUGAUACGCAGCGUUUUCGAUCGAUCCAAGUAAAACUCUGUACCCUUCGCGAGCAAAAGGCAGAUGAAGUGCUUAAAAUGCACUUCGGCCGAUGUACGCGUUUGCCGAAAGUUUUGGCUGCGUCCCUGACUCGGCCUUAGUGUCGCAUGUUGGGGUCUGCAGACUGACCAGGGUGCGUCGUUUCUAUCAGAUUGAUUGUGCGGAUUGUGUUAUAGGAACACCGGUGUAUCGACUUCUCUGCUCUACUAAGGGUGAACCAUACAAAGGGCCUUCUGUUGCUUACCCACCAUCGAACAAAAACCAAAACCGGGCAGAUAUACGUACAUAUAACUCGGUUCUGACAUCGAUACAUUGAAUCUGUUCACACGUCGUCUUUGGAGUAGCAAUUGAACCAACCAACCAGUCAAAAACAAUCGCAGUUGGUUGCCAACAAUCUUUUCUGUGGCUAUACACUUUGUAGUGAACUCAAAGCGGAAUCAGUUCCACAACAACAAUGUGUUAAGUUCUUAAUUAUUUGAAAUUGCUUACAAUUUUUUUUGUUUUUGUACACUCUACGACUUUAUAAUUACUUAUACUGAUGUAAAAUUACUUGUCGAAACAAAACUGAGAAUAAGAAAAUGGAAAAAAAUGCAUUACAAAAGAGCUCAUCUAUAUCUAUGGAAGAGAAGCAACAAAAAAGUGAAUAAAAUUCAAAAAUUCCAAAAAUAAAUCUCGAAACAUUGCUCGUCAUAUUUUUUUAUUUCAAGCUUAAAUUCAAUUUCAGUUAGAUCAUCCAACCUUUUUACAAAGCGCUGCAGCAGUUAGCUCAUCGAGGAAGGGUUGCUCUCAGCAUCCCAAUAAAAUUACGAUUCAUAUACGAAACACCCGAAAAAAAACCGAAUUCUCUGUCCUUGCGACUCUACACGAAGAAGGGCCAGUCAUCAAUUCCAAUACUAAAUGUUUCCAAUAAAAUAAUUAGUUCCUGAUAUCCCAUUUAGUAAAACAAUAUAGCG